UUUUCGCAUUAUGCAGAUGAUUUGCCUUGCUUUCUCAAGACCAUAAAAAAUAGAUGGCAGAUGUUUCAAUCCAAAUUUCAGGCUGGAGAUAUUUAUUUAGCUAUCUAAUGGUGCUCAGGUCCUAUCCUCUGUUUGAACAGUUAAGUCAGAGGACUUGGUGUUGCUUUUCCAAUCGAUGCUCAUGCUUGGAAUUAGCAUUGGACUUACUUUCAAUGUGGUUUUGCUUUCAACUGAUAAAAGAUCAAGACUACUGGAUAGGUUAGGUUGUUCACACCGUCGACCUUUAUGGGCAUGGUGCAUUAACGUGGGAAAGCGAUUCAACAUGGCUUUGGGAAUCACCCAGGGGCUUCUUUAUCUUCACCAAGAUUCUAUAUUUCUUUUCACAUAAAUUUCCAAUGAAAUGUUUCAGCUUAAGAUCAUAGUUAAAUUUUUACCAGUGCAGCUACCAAUAUUUAUGGAUUCUACAGUUUGUAUAUGAAUAUCCAUAUUAGCCUUUGUGGAAAAAUUUGCAUGUAGGUCUUUAUGCUUAUAAUCAUUCCAUUGAACGGCCCAUUCAUAAAUUUGUCCCUGUAUCUUCUAUUUUAACUGCCUGAUUUAGCAUGUAUAACUAUUGACAUGACCAUGAUAAGGCUGAUAAUUGAUUUUUGGUAAUUGUAAUGAUGGUAAUCAAUAGAUCAAUGGUACAUAUUACUGGGCUAUGGGCCCCACUUGUCAUUGUUGAAUACCUGUGUAUACUGUUAAGAGACACCCAUUACGUAUGUAGGGAGUUAUUUGAUACUCUGGCAGCGUAUGACUCUUUUACUAAAAGUACGUCUCUAAUCAUUCCAUCAAAAUUAUGUUCCGCUCAUGCAUUUACUAAAAGUAAAUGAGGCUAAUCUUUUCAAAUGAAUUCUUUUUUAUCUCGUGACAAUAGACGUGGGUCCACAAGUACCAAGCAUCUUUUAAAAGGUAGGCUUUGGAUAAUUAAGGCAGCAAAAAAUGGUUCAUGCUUUCUUGAAGUAUGGAUGUUCGGGCAGUCCCAAACAUAGACACCUGCUGAAGAUGUUAAACCAAUGUACCUACAAUAUGCGAAGCUGGAAGAAGAUUAUGGGCUUGCAAAGAGUGCAAUGAAAGUCUAUGAGCAAGCUAUGAAGGCUGUCCCUGAAAAUGAAAAAAUGAACAUGUAUGAAAUUUACAUAGCUCGUUCAACUGAAAUUUUUGGUGUCCCAAGUACGAGGGAAAUAUACGAGGUGUAUUUGGGUGGACAAUACAUAAACAAUCCUACACUGUCAGAUGUUACGUUUCUAGUUGAAGGUUGUAAAUCAUUCUUGACUGAAUCAAUUUGGUAGUCUAUAUGCUCUCAUUCUUUGGGGCUUUAGAUAGAAAUGUUGGAAUUAUAAUUUUCCUACUAGAAAGUCCCAAAAUUUAUAUGGUGAAAAAAGGGCAUUCUCCGUGCAAUGUUUGACGGUGGUUAUUAGGUGAGUCUAGCCAUAUUUUCAUAUUCAACACAUGGUACACCAGUACAUUGUCAUACAUCUUCACGCAAGGUGAUUUGCAGGCUUUCUAGUCAAUAGCAUCUCCACCUACAAAGCCAUGGCAUGGUUUCUUGGAAACAAUAGCAUGUCCGAUACACUGCCAUCCCAAAAAAGCCAUAAACUUCUUAAUGUGUUUUAGGCAUGGAUGAAUGGGAGCUAGAUCGAUGGAUUUUAUUUAUUUAUUUAUUUAUUUUUUGAAACUAUUCAAUUUAUUAUUGUAAAUAUUAUUUGCGGCAGCUCUAGUAGAAUAGAGAAGGGAAAUGGCUACAACAUCGAACAAAGAAGCCUCCAUCUACUUGCUUAUAAGUUGCUUUGUAAGCCAUAGCCCAUCCUACCAAUGAAACAACCAUUUUUUUUGGCUUGCA